AGUUCCGAGGUGUUAGCAUGUUAGAUUGCAAAUCUAAAGUAGUAGGCGAAACCCUACCGGAACUU
rnacentral:tRNA from 1 species